rnacentral:lncRNA from 1 species
CCUCCUGCCUCAACCUCCCCAGAGCACAGAUUCCACCACACCCUAUCUCUGGUUGCUUUUUAAAAACUGGAUGAAUCAAUUUCCACUUCACCAGGACACACACUUCACUCUUCUUCCACAACUCGAACAGCACAGAGCUGACAAGUUUUUUGUCAAAUUGAUGUCCGUCUUUCCUUUGUCUUGUGAUGAAGCUAGAGUGAAUAUCUGGUCAGAGAUGGCUGCCGUUUCCUUCUCUGUGCGUUGUGAGUUUGGGCUUCUUGCCUGGCGCUCUGUUGUCAUGCUGACCUUGUCCUUUUGUGUCCAUGGAUCUUCUUGUUUGGUAGGAAUUAGUUCCGUCAUAUAAAUUCGAUUUCCCCUCAACUUGCCCUGUGACCUUUGAUUUCCCUUCAGUGGAGUUUGCUCUGCAGAAAUAAUUGUUGUUACACAGUCAGCUCUGUUAGUGUCUGUGUGUUCUGUUUUGGGACUUAGACAGGACACCUAGGCCUUUCCCAUGAGUGCUUCUUAGCAAACUGUUUGCAGGAGAUUGAGGUGGAAGCGAUGGGUUGGCCUUAUUCUGUUGUCUUUUUUAUU